UACGUAGGUGGCAAGCGUUUGUCCGGAUUUAUUGGGUUUAAAGGGUGCGUAGGCGGUCUUAUAAGUCAGUGGUGAAAUACGGCAGCUCAACUGUCGAGGUGCCAUUGAUACUGUAGGACUUGAGUACAGACGAGGUAGGCGGAAUUGACGGUGUAGCGGUGAAAUGCUUAGAUAUCGUCAAGAACACCGAUAGCGAAGGCAGCUUACUAGGCUGUAACUGACGCUGAGGCACGAAAGUGUGGGGAUCAAACAGG
rnacentral:rRNA from 1 species